GCCUACGUGAACAAUCUGAACGCCACCGAGGAGAAGUACCACGAGGCGCUGGCCAAGGGAGAUGUUACAACUCAGGUUGCCCUUCAGCCUGCACUGAAGUUCAAUGGUGGGGGACAUAUUAAUCACACCAUCUUCUGGACCAACCUGAGCACUAAGGGUGGUGGAGAACCCAAAGGAGAGUUGCUGGAGGCUAUCAAGCGUGACUUUGGGUCUUUUGAGAAGUUUAAGGAGAAACUGACAGCCGUGUCUGUGGGAGUCCAAGGUUCAGGCUGGGGCUGGCUUGGCUUCAAUAAGGAGCAAGGUCGCUUACAGAUUGCUGCCUGCUCUAAUCAGGAUCCUCUGCAAGGAACAACAGGCCUUAUUCCGCUGCUGGGGAUUGACGUGUGGGAGCACGCAUACUACCUCCAGUACAAAAACGUCAGGCCUGACUAUCUGAAGGCUAUUUGGAAUGUAAUCAACUGGGAGAAUGUUACUGAAAGAUACACAGCUUGCAAGAAGUAAAGCCUUUUGGCCACGUUGAGUAUGCCAGGCCCUUGGCUGUUUUAUAGUAGUGUAGAGCACUGCAGCACUAUGACUGAGAGCUGUAAUCUUUACUGAUGUUUAUCCACAUAUGUGAUGAGCAUAAUGUUAUGAUAAUUUCUUAUUUUAAUUAAAUUUACUAUUAGUACAACUGUUUGAGAACAGUACA